rnacentral:rRNA from 1 species
UACGGGGGGAGCAAGCGUUGUUCGGAUUUACUGGGCGUAAAGGGCGCGUAGGCGGCCUUCUAAGUCGAACGUGAAAUCCCUGGGCUCAACCCAGGAACUGCGUCCGAUACUGGAAGGCUUGAAUCCGGGAGAGGGAUGCGGAAUUCCAGGUGUAGCGGUGAAAUGCGUAGAUAUCUGGAGGAACACCGGUGGCGAAGGCGGCAUCCUGGACCAAUACUGACACUGAGGAGCGAAAGCCAGGGGAGCAAACGGG